rnacentral:rRNA from 1 species
GACGAACGCUGGCGGCGUGCCUAAUACAUGCAAGUCGAACGCAGUGGGGACGGGUGAGUAACACGUGGGUAACCUCCCAUCAGAGGGGAUAACACUUGGAAACUGGUGCUAAACUGAUACUGAUGGAUGGACAAGCGGUGCAUUAGCUCGUUGGUGAGGUAACGGCUCAACAAGGCCCCGAGGCAUAGCCGACCUGAGAGGGUGAUCAGCCACACUGGAACUGAGACAGGGCCCAGACGCCUACGGGAGGCAGCAGUGGGGAAUAUUCGGCAAGGGGCGAAAGUCUGAUCGAGCAACGCCGCGUGAGUGAAGAAGGUUUUCGGAUCGGAAAGCUCUGUUGUUAGAGAAGCGGUAUCUAACCAGAAAGCCACGGCUAACUACGUGCCAGCAGCCGCGGUAAUUC